GUAAUUUGCGCCUGCAGAGGGGAACAGGGGCAGACACAUCAUUGUAUUCCAAUUAUUGGAGGAAGUAGGAACUAUAUAUUAGUAGAAAGAAAUCUUAUGAAGUAGGAAACAUAGAUGAGAAAUUUCCAAAUCAAGCACUUUUACAAGUCCACUAAUCUAAAAUGGAAAACUUUUUCACACAUGCUAUUGGAAUUUGGUAGAAAUGAGGUGCUAAUGAGAGAUCAUCUCAAUCUCAAGCCAAAUUCAAUAAUCAGCAUCUAAAAAAUAAAACAUAUAUUAAGAAGCAGCACACUGUGAUUAAGGAUGAAUGGGCUAUUAUUUUCAGUUCCACAUAUCUACUUGCAACCAUGGUUAAUCACUUGUUUAGAUAAAAAUGUUCAACUGUUCAAUUUAAAAGAUUCCACUAAUCUGUGCUCUCGUCUUUUGUGAUCUAAUAUUGAAUGAUUAUAUCUGCGGAUUUGAUCAUGGAAAGAAGAUGCGGUGGCUUUGCUUGUUAUAAGAAACAAUUAAGGUGCUAGUUGUCCCCCAUGAAGGAACAACCCAACAUUACUUGUCCGAAGUACAGGUCACAGUCGUAUAUCUUCUGAAAUUAUGAGAAAACUCCAAGUCCCAAGAUUGCUGUAAAUCAGAAACAGUUUUGCUUAAAACAAUUUUAUUUCCUUCCUUUGAAAUGCCAAAAAGGCAGACUGACAGACCAACCUGGUCGUCGCCUAAGUACACUAGAUAUAUAGAAAAAAGAUACCUUAAAAUAUAUCAAAAUUCGAAGGUCAAGCCCCUAAGAAUCAAGUAAAAUAGUGGAUAUGACAGAUAAGAAAUUAAUGCAAUCACUCCAAACAGUCCAUCCUGACAUCUAGUCUAUUUGGUAUCGAUGUUGAAAAUUGCUUUGUCGAAAAGCACAAUUUUAGAUGCUACAUUUUGUUUAGCUGUUUUUGAGUUUUUAUGACUAAAAGAUUAUAAAUUUACCUUAAAAACAAUUUUUAAUAGCUUAUAAUCAACAUAUUCAAGAUGUUGCUUUUCUCAAUAACUCCUCCACCAGCAAUGCCAAACAAUACCAUAAUGCGGCAAUGCUUCCACUCCAAGACAUUCAGUUACUCUGUUCCUUCCAAAUACACCAUACUAAUCACAAGGGGUCUCCUCAAGUAAUGUCAGCAAGUUAGUACAACAAAUAUUGAACUAAAUAUAGAAAUUUAUCUUUGGGGUGCCAUCCAACCUAAUAACAUCACAUGUUGAAGUAGUAAGAGGUAAAGUAGAGGAACAAAGCAUUUGUGUCAUCCUUGUGACCUUUGCGCAAUCUAACCUUCACUACCAUCUCUCAUGGUGAAAAUAUUAUGCUUAAAACAUUGCUAUCUCCUAAUUUACAAUUCCCUUGGUUGAUCAGAAUUUGGAAGUGGAAAGCAUCUUUUCGAUUCAGAGCAACCAACCUGAUCCCUGUGGCCAUGCUAAGCAAGCCUUUUCACACUAACAUAAGAACAUAUAUAGCUUAGGCACAACAAGGCCAUAGAAAAUAACCACAUAGAUUAUGACCUCUAGUUUACAAGAUUUUUUUAUCCAACAAUGAACUUCUAUCUAGCAUUCCAUACACCUGCAGUGAUAUUUAAUGAUCAUCAGCUAGCUCCAAAUGCUACCUUUCGUUGUUGGGCAUCUUGUG
rnacentral:misc_RNA from 1 species